UCCACUGUAGGGUGCCCCUACCAUGUGGGGGUUGGGCAGAAUUUUAGAGAGGUUAAUGAGAGUGUGGGGAGAAUAAAAGUGGUCAUUGUGUGAAUAAUUGACGGUUGCCAGACACUGAUGUGCCCAAGAGCCUGUUUAUCUGCUGUGUGUCUCCCUAGAGUUCUCACUCCCACACGAUGAAUCUACAGCCCGGAGCUCUCCAUGUUCCCCGCUGAUAUUGGUAUUGGUUUAUCAUUGUCACAUUUACCAGGACACAGCAAAAAAUUUUGCAUGCUGCCCGAUCAAAUUGUACCAAACAUGGGUACAAUUAAUCCAUGCGCAAGUACAACAGACAGUGCAAAGAGUAAAAUACUAGAGUGCAGAAUAUAGUGUUACAGCAUUACGAUAUUCUGGUUACAGAGAAAGUGCAGAUAAAAGAGUGCAAAAGCCACAAUGAGGUAGGUUGGUGAAUCAGGAGUACACACUAGCUUAUGAGAGGACCAUUCAGUCGUCUGAUAGCAGCGGGGAAGAGGCUGUUACUGAAUCUGGUAAUACAUACUGACAUGCUUUUGUAUCUUCUGCCCAAAGGGAGAAUGACCGGGUUGUGAGUGGUCCUUGAUUAUGUUGGCUACUUUGCCAAGACAGUGUGAAGUGUAGGUGGAGUCGAUGGCGAGGAGUUUGGUCUGUGUGAUGAGCUGAGCUAUGUCCACAACUCUCUGCAAUUUCUUAGAGUCUUUGGCAGAGCUGUUCCUAAAUCAUACUGUCAUACAUCCCGAAAUAAUGCUUGCCAUGGUGUAACUGUAGGAGAUGGUAAUAGUUGUUGGAUCAUGUCGAACUUCAUUUGUCUUCUGAGGAAGUAGAGAUGUCGGUCCACUUUCUUAGCUAUAGCUUAGAUGUGGUUGGUCCAGGAUGGAUCAUUGGUGAUAUUUACUGCCAGGAAGGUGAAGCUCUUAACUAUCUUCCCUGACGUAUAUUUCAGAAUGUGUAAUUUCUUGUCAGCAAGGGGGACAAAGUGACCAGUGGAAGUUAGAAUAUUGUCCAACAAAGCGAGGUGCUAUGAAGGGGAAUUUAUCAGCUCCCAGCAUUGUCUCAGUUCUGAACCUAAAUGGAUAACUGGGGCGGCACAGUCGUGCAACGGUAGAGUUGUGCCGUGUAGCGCCAGAGACGCGGGGUUGAGCCUAUCACCCUGUGACCACGUGGGUUUUUUCCGGGUACUCCAGAUACCUCCCACACUCCGAAGACGUACAGGUUUAGGUUAAUUGGCUUUGGUAAAAAUUGUAAAUUGUCCUGAGUGUGUAGAAUAGUGCUUGUGUGCGGGGGGUGAUUACUGGUUAGUUAGGACUCAGUGAGCCAAAGGGACUGUUUCAGCACUGUAUCUCGAAAGUCACACUCCUUAUUUUUUUUAGCAGUGACCCUAGUUCUAGAUCCUCUCACUUUAGGAAACAUCCUCUUUCCCCGUCCAUUCACUCAACGUCGUUCAGAAUGAUAUUUGUUUUAUUCAGGUCCUCUCCCACUCUGCUAAACUCUGUGGGGACAAGCACAAGCCUUCCUGGUGAGCUGAACCCACAUUUCUUGGCUUCCAGCCCUCUCUAAGCUGUUUCUGUUGGCAGCAGUCCCAGAAGGUAAAAAUGGUCAGGCCUGUAGGGAGAGGGGCAGGGAGUGGGGUGGAUUGGAGAGUUCUCUUUCACGGAGCUAGGAUGGGCUUGGUGGGCUGAGCGACCUCCUCCUAUGUUAAACCACUGUGGCUCUCAGCAGGAUCAGGACAAUUUGGCCCAUCGGCUCUGCGUACUGCAGGAGCGAUGGGGACGUGGUCAAUGGGAGAGCGUGUGAUCCAGGUGCGCCGUUGAGUAAGGUCUUUAUUCAAACUAUUGAGUGUUUCCCUCCCUGUUGCAGUUGUACGCGCUCCGCUUCACAGUGGAGCUUUGUCGAGCAGGGAAACAGUCACACAGGGUCUACACAGAUGGCUGUAGCUCCCCAGGCAUUAAUCAGAAUGGAGACUAUCAACGUCGCAAUCUCUAACAUCUUGGCUGAAAUAAAUUCUCUUGGGAUUUAUGAAAACCUGGAGGAAUGUGAAGAGAAUUAAUUAAUGCCGGAAUGUUUCACCAGCCUUCCGAACGUGAUGCAGGGUGUGGGGCGAUGGGUGGUGAGGGAAGAGUCCCUGGAACCUCUCAAUUGCUGCAUAAAACACUUUAACUAUGAUUGUAACCAGCAGAUCCCAUUGAUCUAGAAUUCACGACGCACAGCUGGGAAUUAGAAUCAUAGUCACACUUUAUGCCAACAGGCCCUUUGGCCCAACUUGUCCAUGCUGACCAAGCAGGUCCCAUUUCUAGUGUCGCCAUGACUCUGACAGAUCGAUCCAUGUACCCAAAUGUUGCCCCUUGGCUUCAUAUUAAAUCUUACGUCUGGUUUCCCCUGCCCUGGGAAACGGUCUCUGUGCAUCUUCUACCCUAUCCAUUCCCUUCAUGAUUUUAUACUCUUCAGAAAGAUCUGGACAAGUAUAAGGUGCAACAGUACUUUAAAAAUAAAUGCUGUCAGGAUCUGGUAAGGGGGGGUGAAAAAUACGAAGUUGGUAUAUCCCUUUUUGCGCGGUCUUCACAAUAAAGCUUUUGUUCCUUUUUCUUUUUCUUCAUUUCUAUAGCCUAUUUUUUAACUUUUUUCCCUAACUCUUUGCUCAAUGGGUCUUUCUUUUUGAUCACUCUUUCACAAUACCACGACUUUCUCUCACUUUCUUUACUUUCUUUAUUUCUCUCUCUUUUUAAAGCUUAAAAAAUGAAGUGGCACAAUAAAUGUAACAAGAUAUGUUUGGCUUGUACUAUUGUAAUGUACUGUACUAAUAAAUAAAAUUAUAUUAGAAAAAAGAAAGAUCUGGAGGUCGGGAUCGAAGCUGGAGGUUGUGAGGCAGCGGCUCCAGCCCUGCUCCACCGUGCUGCCCUGGAUUCCCCCCAGCGUUCCUGAACAGGUUGUAACAUAUAGGGUGGAAAUGCAUGAGGAGGGGCAGCAGGUCAUGUUUCCGCCUGUGGAUGGAGAUGAAAGGCAGGUGCUGAGGGUGUGUCUGCUGCUCGUGCUGCUGAGAGGAACGCAGGGUGAAGCGCGUUUGGUCUUGCAGUGGAUCACGCUUGCCGGAGGCGUGUAGAUACAGAGAGGUGGUCCUCCGAUUCUGCAAGCCCACCACACCAAUGUAACCCAGGAAGGGCUGGAUGGUGCCUGAUCCGCUGAGUCCUUCCAGAGUUUGUUGUUUGCUCACGAUGCCAACAUCUCCAAUCUCUUGUACUCUCGAAUGACAUUGAGUUUGCUGGCUUUUGAUGAAGGGAAAUCAUUUUGCGUUUGGAGUUGCUACAUUUUAUACAGAUGUAUCGGCGAGGAAUGCGAGCCAGCUCUCUGCCAGGUUGUGCGGGGAUACGCAGGGAGAAGGCUGAGCCUGUGGAAUGUGGCCCUGAUUACCCCACAUUAGUGCUGCCGCAGGGUUCCUGCUGUCAUCCUGGGCCGCUGAGGAGCCGUGCAUCAGACUAGCAAAUGCCCGCGGCGUAGCUUAGCUUUACAUGGUUUUAUUUUACAAAAAUAAAUUUGAUCAAUUAUUUACAAUAAUUGGUACGGUGGCGCAGCGGUAGAGUUGCUGCCUUACAGCGAAUGCAGACGCCGGAGACCCGGGUUCGAUCCCGACUACGGGUGCUGUCUGUACGGAGUUUGUACGUUCUGCCCGUGACCUGCAUGGGUUUUCUCCGAGAUCUUUGGUUUCCUCCCACACUCCAAAGAUGUACAGGUUUGUAGGUUAAUUGGCUUGGUAAAUGAAAAAUUGUCCCUAGUGGGUGUAGGAUAGCGGUAAUAUGCAGGGAUCGCUCGCUGGUCGGCGCGGACACGGUGGGCCGAAGGGCCUGUUUCCGCGCGGUAUCUCUAAACUAC